rnacentral:rRNA from 1 species
AUACGGAGGGUGCAAGCGUUAAUCGGAAUUACUGGGCGUAAAGCGCACGCAGGCGGUUGAUUAAGUUAGAUGUGAAAUCCCCGGGCUUAACCUGGGAAUGGCAUCUAAGACUGGUCAGCUAGAGUCUUGUAGAGGGGGGUAGAAUUCCAUGUGUAGCGGUGAAAUGCGUAGAGAUGUGGAGGAAUACCGGUGGCGAAGGCGGCCCCCUGGACAAAGACUGACGCUCAGGUGCGAAAGCGUGGGGAGCAAACAGGAUUAGAUACCCUGGUAGUCCACGCUGUAAACGAUGUCGAUUUGAAGGUUGUUCCCUAGAGGAGUGGCUUUCGGAGCUAACGCGUUAAAUCGACCGCCUGGGGAGUACGGCCGCAAGGUUAAAACUCAAAUGAAUUGACGGGG